GAUCCUGGCUCAGGAUGAACGCUGGCGGCGUGCCUAAUACAUGCAAGUCGAACGCGGGCAGCAAUGCCCGAGUGGCGAACGGGUGAGUAAUACAUAAGUAACCUGCCCUUUACAGGGGGAUAACUAUUGGAAACGAUAGCUAAGACCGCAUAGGUAAAGAUACCGCAUGGUAAGUUUAUUAAAAGUGCCAAGGCACUGGUAGAGGAUGGACUUAUGGCGCAUUAGCUAGUUGGUGAGGUAACGG
rnacentral:rRNA from 1 species